AAACCAUGAUGAAGGCAGUCUCUCUCAUACUCUUUGAAUCGCUCCCAGGCUUCAUAGAAUGAUUCUAUUGGGGCCUUGUUGGAAACUUUGUAUCUUGUUUCUCAGCU
rfam:Eutrema salsugineum unplaced genomic scaffold scaffold_7, whole genome shotgun sequence.